CCUACGGGAGGCAGCAGUGAGGAAUAUUGGUCAAUGGACGCAAGUCUGAACCAGCCAUGCCGCGUGCAGGACGACGGCUCUAUGAGUUGUAAACUGCUUUUGUACGGGGGUAAACGCAGAUACGCGUAUCUGUCUGAAAGUAUCGUACGAAUAACGAUCGGCUAACUCCGUGCCAGCAGCCGCGGUAAUACGGAGGAUUCAAGCGUUAUCCGGAUUUAUUGGGUUUAAAGGGUGCGUAGGCGGUCGGAAAAGUUAGGGGUGAAAUCCCGAGGCUCAACUUCGGAAUUGCCUCUGAUACUGUCCGGCUAGAGAGUAGUUGCGGUAGGAGGAAUGUAUGGUGUAGCGGUGAAAUGCUUAGAGAUCAUACAGAACACCGAUUGCGAAGGCAGCUUACCAAGCUACUUCUGACGUUGAGGCACGAAAGCGUGGGGAGCAAACAGGAUUAGAUACCCGGGUAGUC
rnacentral:rRNA from 1 species